GACGAACGCUGGCGGCGUGCCUAAUACAUGCAAGUCGAGCGCAGGAAGUCAUCCGAACCCUUCGGGGGGACGGUGACGGAAUGAGCGGCGGACGGGUGAGUAACACGUAAAGAACCUGCCCUCAGGUCUGGGAUAACCACGAGAAAUCGGGGCUAAUACCGGAUGGGUCAUCGGACCGCAUGGUCCGAGGAUGAAAGGCGCUUCGGCGUCGCCUGGGGAUGGCUUUGCGGUGCAUUAGCUAGUUGGUGGGGUAACGGCCCACCAAGGCGACGAUGCAUAGCCGACCUGAGAGGGUGAUCGGCCACACUGGGACUGAGACACGGCCCAGACUCCUACGGGAGGCAGCAGUAGGGAAUCUUCCACAAUGGACGAAAAGUCUGAUGGAGCAACGCCGCGUGAAACGGUGAAGGCCCUCGGGUUCGUAAAAUUUCUGUUGUAAAGGGA
rnacentral:rRNA from 1 species